rnacentral:lncRNA from 1 species
UUUUGUGAGGCAAGUGGUAAAUUAUGAAUAGGAAAUAUUAUUUUAUUUUUGGUGUUCUGUACAUCCUAAAUGACCCCAAGACAUAGACCCCUGCUAUUUGUCUCUUGUGUUAGGAAUUGUCGCACUCCAUUCAUAUCUUCUAAAUAUCUAAAAGCAUAUUCUUCCUUUAUGAACAAAAUCAGCAAAUUCUAAUACAUGAUGUCACACCACGUGCUGCUUCAGACUCAUUGCAACUAGGCUAAUGCUUUGUUGGAAAAAUCAAACAUAUUUGAUUGUAUUUUGACUCACGUCAGAUAUUUAUUCUAUGUAUCUUUAAUAAAAUAACUAAAUU